CGACCGGCGCGACGGGUGAGUAACACGUAUCCAACCUGCCGAUAACGUCGGGGAUAGUCCUUUCGAAAGAAAGAUUAAUAUCCGAUAGCAUAUCAAGAUCGCAUGAUUCUUGAUUAAUUAAAAGUAAGUUUUCGGUUAUCGAGUGGGGAUGCGUUCCAUUAGUUAGUUGGGCGGGGUAACGGCCCACCAAGACGACGAUGGAUAGGGGUUCUGAGAGGAAGGUCCCCCACAUUGGAACUGAGACACGGUCCAAACUCCUACGGGAGGCAGCAG
rnacentral:rRNA from 1 species